UGGGGAAUUUUGCACAAUGGGGGAAACCCUGAUGCAGCGACGCCGCGUGAUUUAGAAGGCCUUCGGGUUGUAAAAAUCUUUUUUAUGGGAAGAAAAUGACAGUCCCAUACGAAUAAGGACCGGCUAAUUACGUGCCAGCAGCCGCGGUAAUACGUAAGGUCCGAGCGUUGUCCGGAAUCAUUGGGCGUAAAGGGUACGUAGGCGGAUAAGCAAGUUAGAAGUGAAAUCCUAUAGCUCAACUAUAGUAAGCUUUUAAAACUGCUCAUCUUGAGGUAUGGAAGGGAAAGUGGAAUUCCUAGUGUAGCGGUGAAAUGCGCAGAUAUUAGGAGGAAUACCGGUGGCGAAGGCGACUUUCUGGCCAUAAACUGACGCUGAGGUACGAAAGCGUGGGUAGCAAACAGG
rnacentral:rRNA from 1 species